rnacentral:lncRNA from 1 species
CAAACUCUGCUAAUGCACUGUUACUGAAUAACAGCGUAGCAGAGAGGAGAGGCCUUGGAAACCCGAAGCUCUGGUUCAAACCGGGGACCUUGCCAUUUACUGGCUAUCUGGCUGGUCCAGCUCCAGGGACGCCCCAAAGCCCAUGCACCACUGACCUGUUAUAACAACUCCUCUGAGCCUCCUGAUCCCCUCUGUAAUAUGCAGCUAGUGUUAUUUGCCACACCUACCUGCAUUCAUUUAGCAAAUAUUAAGUACCUACUAUGUGCUGGGCACGAAAGUCAGUUUCUGGACGCUGAAAAUUAAUGGGAUCUUCACCCAAGGAUCACAUCAACGUGCAGAUCGCAUUGCAAAGGACCUCCUAUUUCUCUAGCCUGGGUGCACCCAGCAUCAACUGAGCAGUUUUUAAAAAUCUACCUGUGCCUCGGCCCUUGCCUGGUUGAAUUGUCAGAGCCUGGGGACCAGCGUCAUUUAAAGCUCUCCAGCUGUUUCUACUACACAGCCAGGUAUUCUCCGAGGAGGAACACUCAAAGCCUCCAGAUAAACACAGCAUUUCUUUCAGCAGCAUCAUUUUUCCUCAAGAUCUAAACUGUAUCGCCUUGUUCUCGGUGACUUGGGAAUCCUCCUUCGGCUGCAGUUGGGCUCCACACUCUACCCCAGGCUAAACCUUCUUUCUCAAACCCUCAGAAGGCAUUCAACCGUGUUAACGCUGCCCACUCACCAACUCAG